UCUACGGGCGGCAGCAGUGAGGAAUAUUGGUCAAUGGCCGGGAGGCUGAACCAGCCAAGUCGCGUGAGGGAAGACGGCCCUACGGGUUGUAAACCUCUUUUGUCAGGGAGCAAGGUGCAGGUCGGGACCUGCUGUGAGAGUACCUGAAGAAAAAGCAUCGGCUAACUCCGUGCCAGCAGCCGCGGUAAUACGGAGGAUGCGAGCGUUAUCCGGAUUUAUUGGGUGUAAAGGGAGCGUAGACGGUUCUGAAAGUCUGAAGUGAAAGCCCGUGGAUUAACCGCGGAACGGCUUUGGAAACUGUGGAACUGGAGUGCUGGAGAGGCAAGCGGAAUUCCUAGUGUAGCGGUGAAAGGCGUAGAUAUUAGGAGGAACACCAGUGGCGAAGGCGGCUUGCUGGACAGUAACUGACGUUGAGGCUCGAAAGCGUGGGGAGCAAACAGGAUUAGAUACCCGAGUAGUC
rnacentral:rRNA from 1 species